GGACUACAAGGGUUUCUAAUCCUGUUUGCUCCCCACGCUUUCGUGCCUGAACGUCGGCGCUGGACCAGGAAGCCGCUUUCGCCACUGAUGUUCCUUCCGAUAUCUACGCAUUUCACCGCUACACCGGAAAUUCCGCUUCCCUCUUCCGCACCCUAGCUCCGCAGUCUCGAAUGCAAUUCCCAGGUUGAGCCCGGGGCUUUCACACCCGACUUACGAAACCGUCUACGCACGCUUUACGCCCAGUAAUUCCGAUUAACGCUUGCACCCUCUGUAUUACCGCGGCUGCUGGCAC
rnacentral:rRNA from 2 species